UUGCCUGAAGAAGUGUGGGGAGGGUGGGGAAGGGGUGGUUGGCUCUCCAGCCCCAGAGUGCUCUGUGGCCCUGGGAGGGCAUGGGUGGCACCUGAGCCAGGCUCCCACGGUUCCGCCUGCAGAUCGCCUCAGGCAUGGCGUACGUGGAGCGGAUGAACUACGUCCACCGGGACCUUCGUGCAGCCAACAUCCUGGUGGGAGAGAACCUGGUGUGCAAAGUGGCCGACUUUGGGCUGGCUCGGCUCAUUGAAGACAAUGAGUACACGGCGCGGCAAGGUGCCAAAUUCCCCAUCAAGUGGACGGCUCCAGAAGCUGCCCUCUAUGGCCGCUUCACCAUCAAGUCAGACGUGUGGUCCUUCGGGAUCCUGCUGACUGAGCUCACCACAAAGGGACGGGUGCCCUACCCUGGUAAGAAGGUCCUCAUGGCCUGUCUCUGGUCCCUGAAUCCCUCUGCCCUGGUGGCCUUGGGCAAGUCAUGACUCCUGCUGGGCCUGUUUCCCCAUCCGUAAAACAAAUAAGUUGAGCGUCUGAUGUUAGGCUCUCUCGAUGGUCCAUGCUC
rnacentral:sRNA from 1 species